AGUGAACGCUGGCGGUAGGCCUAACGCAUGCAAGUCGAACGGCAGCACAGUAAGAGCUUGCUCUUACGGGUGGCGAGUGGCGGACGGGUGAGGAAUACAUCGGAAUCUACUUUUUCGUGGGGGAUAACGUAGGGAAACUUACGCUAAUACCGCAUACGACCUACGGGUGAAAGCAGGGGAUCUUCGGACCUUGCGCGAUUGAAUGAGCCGAUGUCGGAUUAGCUAGUUGGCGGGGUAAAGGCCCACCAAGGCGACGAUCCGUAGCUGGUCUGAGAGGAUGAUCAGCCACACUGGAACUGAGACACGGUCCAGACUCCUACGGGAUGCAGCAGUGGGGAAUAUUGGACAAUGGGCGCAAGCCUGAUCCAGCCAUACCGCGUGGGUGAAGAAGGCCUUCGGGUUGUAAAGCCCUUUUGUUGGGAAAGAAAAGCAGCAGGUUAAUACCCCGCUGUUCUGACGGUACCCAAAGAAUAAGCACCGGCUAACUUCGUG
rnacentral:rRNA from 1 species